rnacentral:tRNA from 1 species
GCGGCCGUGGUCUAACGGUAUGAUUCCAGCCUUCCAAGCUGGUUGCCCGGGUUCAAUUCCCGGCGGCCGCA